rnacentral:rRNA from 1 species
AUUGAACGCUGGCGGCAGGCCUAACACAUGCAAGUCGAGCGGAUGAAGGGAGCUUGCUCCUGGAUUCAGCGGCGGACGGGUGAGUAAUGCCUAGGAAUCUGCCUGGUAGUGGGGGAUAACGUCCGGAAACGGGCGCUAAUACCGCAUACGUCCUGAGGGAGAAAGUGGGGGAUCUUCGGACCCCACGCUAUCAGAUGACCCUAGGUCGGAUUAGCUGGUUGGUGGGGUAAAGGCCUACCAAGGCGACGAUCCGUAACUGGUCUGAGAGGAUGAUCAGUCACACUGGAACUGAGACACGGUCCAGACUCCUACGGGAGGCAGCAGUGGGGAAUAUUGGACAAUGGGCGAAAGCCUGAUCCAGCCAUGCCGCGUGUGUGAAGAAGGUCUUCGGAUUGUAAAGCACUUUAAGUUGGGGGGAAGGGCAGUAAGUUAAUACCUUGCUGUUUUGACGUUACCAACAGAAUAAGCACCGGCUAACUUCGUG